CAGCCAGACUCCUACGGGAGGCAGCAGUGAGGAAUAUUGGUCAAUGGGCGCGAGCCUGAACCAGCCAAGUCGCGUGAGGGAAGACGGUCCUAUGGAUUGUAAACCUCUUUUGUCGGGGAGCAAAGAGGCCACGUGUGGUCAAAAGCGAGAGUACCCGAAGAAAAAGCAUCGGCUAACUCCGUGCCAGCAGCCGCGGUAAUACGGAGGAUGCGAGCGUUAUUCGGAUUUAUUGGGUUUAAAGGGCGCGCAGGCGGAAUGUCAAGUCAGCGGUAAAAUUUCGGGGCUCAACCCCGUCGUGCCGUUGAAACUGGCGUUCUUGAGUGAGCGAGAAGUAUGCGGAAUGCGUGGUGUAGCGGUGAAAUGCAUAGAUAUCACGCAGAACUCCGAUUGCGAAGGCAGCAUACCGGCGCUCAACUGACGCUCAUGCACGAAAGCGUGGGUAUCGAACAGGAUUAGAUACCCUUGUA
rnacentral:rRNA from 1 species